rnacentral:rRNA from 1 species
GACAGAGGUCCCGAGCGUUAGGCGGAAUCACUGGGCUUAAAGCGUGUGUAGGCGGAUGCCUAAGUACCUUGUGAAAUCCCACGGCUCACCCGUGGAACUGCUUGGUAUACUGGGUGUCUUGAGCCACUUAGGGGCUACCGGAACAAACGGUGGAGCGGUGAAAUGCGUAGAUAUCAUUUGGAACGCCAAUGGUGAAAACAGGUAGCUGGGAGUGUGCUGACGCUGAGACACGAAAGCCAGGGGAGCAAACGGG